rnacentral:rRNA from 1 species
UACAGAGGUGGCAAGCGUUGUUCGGAAUUACUGGGCGUAAAGGGCGCGUAGGCGGUCCCAUAAGUCCUGUGUGAAAUCCCCCGGCUCAACUGGGGAAUUGCACGGGAAACUGCGGGGCUUGAGUUCGGGAGAGGGAAGCGGAAUUCCGGGUGUAGCGGUGAAAUGCGUAGAUAUCCGGAGGAACACCGGUGGCGAAGGCGGCUUCCUGGACCGACACUGACGCUGAGGCGCGAAAGCUAGGGGAGCAAACGGG